CUUUUUUGUGAUAAUUAUUUAAAGUUUGACCUGCCCACUGAUUAAAUUAAAGGGCCGCGGUAUUCUGACCGUGCAAAGGUAGCAUAAUCAUUAGUCUUUUAAUUGAAGGCUGGAAUGAAUGGUUUGACGAAGUAUUAACUGUCUCUGUAUGAUAAUUAGAAUUUAACUUUUGAGUUAAAAGGCUUAAAUUAGGUUAUAGGACGAGAAGACCCUAUAGAGUUUUAUAUAUUAAAGUCUGAGGAAUUUUUAGUUGAUGAAUGAUUCUUAAGGGUUUAAUUUAUUUUGUUGGGGUGACAUAGAGAUAGAAGAAACUCUUUAUUUAAGUUUACAUUAGUGUAUGGUUAUUUGAUCCAUUUUUAUUGAUCAUAAGAUAAAGUUACCUUAGGGAUAACAGCGUAAUUUUUUUUGAGAGUUCUUAUCGACAGAAAAGAUUGCGACCUCGAUGUUGGACUAAGGAAUAUGAUUAGGUGUAGCAGUUUAAUUAAUAGGUCUGUUCGACCUUUAAAUCCUUACAUUGAUCUGAGUUCA
rnacentral:rRNA from 1 species